GGAACAUUGUGGGUUCAAGCAGCUGAUAACCGUGAACAGUACAUAGGAAUUGCCAAAGUCCAAGCCACAGACAAAGAUUGGGUGCAGUUGCAAGGGAAGUUUCUUCUAAAUGACUCCCCAUCUAAAGCUGUCAUCUUUUUAGAAGGUCCACCUCCAGGAACGGAUAUCCUCCUCAAUAGUUUAGUUGUAAAUCACGUAGUUAAACCUCUUCCACCUCCUCCACCAGUUGUUGAGAAUGCAGUUUUUGGUGUUAAUAUAAUCACAAACACCCAUCUGAAUAAUGGCACAAAUGGCUGGUUUCCGCUAGGCAAUUGCAGAAUGAGUGUUCAAACAGGCUCACCACAUAUAAUUCCUCCAAUGGCUAGAGAUUCCCUUGGUUCUCGUGAGAAUUUAAGUGGUCGUUAUAUUGCAGUGACUAAUCGUACCGAGACAUGGAUGGGCCCUGCUCAGGUGAUCACAGAUAAAGUCAAACUCUAUUUGACAUACCAAGUAU
rnacentral:misc_RNA from 1 species